rnacentral:rRNA from 1 species
UGGGGAAUAUUGCACAAUGGAGGGAACUCUGAUGCAGCGACGCCGCGUGAACGAAGAAGGCUUUCGAGUCGUAAAGUUCUUUUAUAUGGGAAGAUAAUGACGGUACCAUAAGAAAAAGCCCCGGCUAACUACGUGCCAGCAGCCGCGGUAAUACGUAGGGGGCUAGCGUUGUCCGGAAUCACUGGGCGUAAAGGGUUCGCAGGCGGAAAUGCAAGUCAGGUGUAAAAGGCAGUAGCUUAACUACUGUAAGCAUUUGAAACUGAAUAGCUUGAGAAGAGUAGAGGUAAGUGGAAUUUUUAGUGUAGCGGUGAAAUGCGUAGAUAUUAAAAAGAAUACCGGUGGCGAAGGCGACUUACUGGGCUCAUUCUGACGCUGAGGAACGAAAGCGUGGGUAGCAAACAGG